rnacentral:rRNA from 1 species
GCCCAACUGUCUCCUCCCUCCAAUCAAUGAAACUGAUCUCAUCCGUGAACCCAUGGAGCUUUAAACCUGACUUCAUCCUUAUUAACUAUAUACCCUUAAUCAACAGGACCCUGUCUGUCAGUUUUAGGUUGGGGUGACCACGGAGCAAAAACAAACCUCCAUGAUGAACUGGACUAACCCACUAUCCAAGAAAAACACCUCAAAGAAUUAGCACACUAACAUAAAAUGAUCCGACACUCGAUCAACGAACCAAGUUACCCUGGGGAUAACAGCGCAAUCUACUUCAAGAGCCCAUAUCGACAAGUAGGUUUACGACCUCGAUGUUGGAUCAGGGUAUCCUAGUGGUGCAGCAGCUACUAAUGGUUCGUUUGUUCAACGAUUAAAACCCUACGUGAUCU